CUUGUUGGUGGGGUGAUGGCCUACCAAGGCGACGACGGGUAGCCGGCCUGAGAGGGCGACCGGCCACACUGGGACUGAGACACGGCCCAGACUCCUACGGGAGGCAGCAGUGGGGAAUAUUGCACAAUGGGCGGAAGCCUGAUGCAGCGACGCCGCGUGAGGGAUGACGGCCUUCGGGUUGUAAACCUCUUUCAGCAGGGACGAAGCGGAAGUGACGGUACCUGCAGAAGAAGCGCCGGCCAACUACGUGCCAGCAGCCGCGGUAAGACGUAGGGCGCGAGCGUUGUCCGGAUUUAUUGGGCGUAAAGAGCUCGUAGGCGGCUUGUCGCGUCGGCUGUGAAAUCCCGUGGCUCAACUGCGGGCUUGCAGCCGAUACGGGCAGGCUAGAGUUCGGUAGGGGAGACUGGAAUUCCUGGUGUAGCGGUGAAAUGCGCAGAUAUCAGGAGGAACACCGGUGGCGAAGGCGGGUCUCUGGGCCGAUACUGACGCUGAGGAGCGAAAGCGUGGGGAGCGAACAGGAUUAGAUACCCUGGUAGUCCACGCUGUAAACGUUGGGCGCUAGGUGUGGGGGGCCUCUCCGGUUCUCUGUGCCGCAGCUAACGCAUUAAGCGCCCCGCCUGGGGAGUACGGCCGCAAGGCUAAAACUCAAAGGAAUUGACG
rnacentral:rRNA from 1 species